rnacentral:rRNA from 1 species
GACGAACCGAGCGAACGUUGUUCGGAUUUACUGGGCGUAAAGAGCGCGCAGGCGGUCGUUCAAGUCGCGUGUGAAAGCCCCCGGCUCAACUGGGGAGGGUCACGCGAUACUGAUCGACUCGAAGGCAGGAGAGGGAAGUGGAAUUCCCGGUGUAGUGGUGAAAUGCGUAGAUAUCGGGAGGAACACCAGUGGCGAAGGCGACUUCCUGGCCUGUUCUUGACGCUGAGGCGCGAAAGCUAGGGGAGCAAACGGG